UGCCCUUAUGAUAAUUUAGGUUAAGUAGUGUGUAAGCUUAGGGACUGAUGAUCUUAGCAGUUAAGUCCCAUAAGAUUUCACACACAUUUGAACAUUUUUUUGUUGGUACAGGGCAUAAGAGAAGCCACUUGAUGGCUCAAAAGUAACAGUGUGGUGUGGUGUCUCCAAGACAGGGAUUGUUGCUUCGUACUUUUUUGAAGAGGGAGAAACUGUAGUUACUGUGUCCUCAGUGCACUACAUCAUGAUGUUAAACAACUUUCUGCAUCCAGAACUGGAAAGGCAUUGGGUGAACAUGAGAGAAAUGGGGUUCCAACAGCAUGGUGCCGUAGCUCACAUAGCAAGAGAAUCUGUGGAAGUGAUUUUACGUGAACAAGCCUUGAACAAUUGAUGACCUGAAAAUUUCCAUUCAUCGAGAAACUAAAGCUGUAUUGAAUGAAAUAUUGGAAGAAGCUGUGCAGAACUUUGAGGAGAGGCUCUGAAUCUGCAUCCAACAGGAAGGAUAUCAUCUUAAUCAUGUUAUUUUCUGAUUCUGAUUAAUGUAUGUAGAUUUAAAAACUGCAAUAAAAGUGUUAUUAUUUAAUGUAAUUUUUUUCUAUAAAUAAAACACUAGAAGUCAUUCGCUAGUGAAAAA